rnacentral:rRNA from 1 species
GAUGAACGCUAGCGGCAGGCUUAACACAUGCAAGUCGAGGGGUAUAAGGAGCUUGCUCCUUAGAGACCGGCGCACGGGUGCGUAACGCGUAUGCAACCUACCUUUCACAGGGGGAUAGCCCAGAGAAAUUUGGAUUAAUACCCCUUGGUAUAAUUGGAUGGCAUCAUUUGAUUAUUAAAGUUCCAACGGUGAAAGAUGGG